rnacentral:rRNA from 1 species
UACGGGGGGUGCGAGCGUUGUCCGGAAUCACUGGGCGUAAAGGGCGCGUAGGUGGUCUGAUAAGGGUGUGGUGAAAGCCCGGGGCUCAACCCCGGAUCUGCCGUGCGGACUGGUUUGCUAGAGCACUGUAGAGGCGAGUGGAAUUCCGGGUGUAGCGGUGGAAUGCGUAGAGAUCCGGAAGAACACCGGUGGCGAAGGCGGCUCGCUGGGCAGUGGCUGACGCUGAGGCGCGACAGCGUGGGGAGCAAACAGG